rnacentral:lncRNA from 1 species
GCUGUCUGCGCCCACCGCCUCCACCGUCAGGUUGCACAGAAUGAACUUGUUGAAGUCGCAUGGGUCGGACACCAGCGGCGGCAGCCCGGCCCCACCGUCGGACUGGGCGGCACGCUCCUGGUGCUCCGUGCCCAGACGAUGCUUCGUCGCGCGCUGCCCGCGGGGACGCAGGCGGAGAAAGAGGAGACGGCAGAGGGAGGACAGACCCCGGCAGGGGGAGGAGGAAACACUAAGUGGCUCCGCGUCUGGUCAGCCCGGGCCCGGGAUGCCAAGUGCCACCCUGCGGGAAGUUUGGGCAGCACGGAGUCCGCCAGCAUUCUACAGGAAGUUUGGGGGAGCACAAGGUUGCCUGCAGAAGGCCAUCAGAAGGGGGUAGGUGAACCCAGUCUGACAGUUGCUGCUUGGGUUUUGACGUCGUUGGACUAGUAGCUGAGGAGAGGCACCACCCCCUUUUAGGUGUCUGAAGGGAGUAUUUACUCCAUCCUGCUGUGGGCUAGAACAUGAAGAAAUCACAGAACUGGUUCUGCCAACAUGAAAGUGUCUCUGCCACAUUUUGGUGAUUCAGUCGCAU